rnacentral:rRNA from 1 species
GAUGAACGCUGGCGGCGUGCCUAAUACAUGCAAGUCGAGCGAACAGACGAGGAGCUUGCUCCUCUGACGUUAGCGGCGGACGGGUGAGUAACACGUGGAUAACCUACCUAUAAGACUGGGAUAACUUCGGGAAACCGGAGCUAAUACCGGAUAAUAUAUUCAACCGCAUGGUUCAAUAGUGAAAGACGGUUUUGCUGUCACUUAUAGAUGGAUCCGCGCCGCAUUAGCUAGUUGGUAAGGUAACGGCUUACCAAGGCAACGAUGCGUAGCCGACCUGAGAGGGUGAUCGGCCACACUGGAACGGAGACACGGUCCAGACUCCUACGGGAGGCAGCAGUAGGGAAUCUUCCGCAAUGGGCGAAAGCUUGACGGAGCAACGCCGCGUGAGUGAUGAAGUUCUUCGGAUCGUAAAACUCUGUUAUUAGGGAAGAACAAAUGUGUAAGUAACGAUGCACGUCUUGACGGUACCUAAUCAGAAAGCCACGGCUAACUACGUG